rnacentral:rRNA from 1 species
CCUACGGGCGGCAGCAGUGGGGAAUAUUGCGCAAUGGGCGAAAGCCUGACGCAGCGACGCCGCGUGAGGGAUGAAGGUCUUCGGAUCGUAAACCUCUGUCAGCAGGGAAGAACGGUCACUGUGCUAAUCAGCAGUGAAUUGACGGUACCUGCAAAGGAAGCACCGGCUAACUCCGUGCGAGCAGCCGCGGUAAUACGGAGGGGGCGUGCGUUAAUCGGAAUUGCUGGGCGUAAAGCGCUCGUAGGCGGUAUGUCAAGUCAAGGGGUAAAUCCCCGGGCUCAACGUGGGACGUGCCUUUGAAACUGGCAGACUGGAGAGGGUGAGAGGAUAGUGGAAUGCCAGGUGUAGGAGUGAAAUCCGUAGAUAUCUGGAGGAACAUCAGUGGCGAAGGCGACUAUCUGGCACAUAACUGACGCUGAGGAGCGAAAGCGUGGGUAGCAAACAGGAUUAGAUACCCGUGUAGUC